UAUGGCCAUAUCACAUUAAAACAUUGGUUCUCAUACAAUCACUGAAGUUAAGCAACCUUGAGCCUUGUCAGUACCUAGAUCAGUGACCGCUUUUGAAUACUAGGUGUUGUAA